UACGAAGGGGGCUAGCGUUGCUCGGAAUUACUGGGCGUAAAGCGCACGUAGGCGGCUUCUAAGUCGGGGGUGAAAUCCUGGAGCUCAACUCCAGAACUGCCUUCGAUACUGGAGAGCUCGAGUCCGGGAGAGGUGAGUGGAACUGCGAGUGUAGAGGUGAAAUUCGUAGAUAUUCGCAAGAACACCAGUGGCGAAGGCGGCUCACUGGCCCGGUACUGACGCUGAUGCGCGAAAGCGUGGGGAGCAAACGGG
rnacentral:rRNA from 1 species